CCUACGGGUGGCAGCAGUGAGGAAUAUUGGUCAAUGGUCGGGAGACUGCACCAGCCCAGCCGCGUGAGGGAGGAAGGUACAGAGUAUCGUAAACCUCUUUUGUCAGGGAACAAAGACUGGGACGCGUCCCCGGAUGAGUGUCCCUGAAGAAACAGCAUCGGCUAACUCCGGGCCAGCAGCCGCGGUAAUACGGAGGAUGCGAGCGUUAUCCGGAUUUAUGGGGUUUAACGGGUGCGCAGGCGGGCUGUUAAGUCAGCGGUCAAAGCCCGGGGUUCAACCCCGGCCCGCCGUUGAAACUGGCAGUCUCGAGUUGGAGAGAAGCAUGCGGAAUUCGCGGUGUAGCGGUGAAAUGCAUAGAUA
rnacentral:rRNA from 1 species